GUUCUAAGUAGCUGGUUCAGCUCAAGACAUCAGAUCUGCACUUUGAAACAAGAAUAAAUUUCAUGGUGGAAGUGAAAAGAAAAGACAAGGCAAGACAAGGUAAGAUGUCAGAUCUGUACUAUAACCAGUAAAAAGAAGGAACAGGCUGAAAGAAAAGAGAGAAAGCAUAUCUCUCACUCAACUCAAGAAAUUGAGUUUGAAUAGACAACACAUUUUUCACUUGGUCCCCAGGGUAGGGCUUACAAAGCAGCAUUCUGGGAGAUGGGGAAACACGAAUGAACAAGAUCAUAAUAUCUGCCCUUACAAAACUGAUGUUCAGUAAAUACUACAGCACUAGACUAUCCCUGAUUGACUGAAUCCACGGCUGCAGUUGCACAGAUACAGAGGAAACAGCUGUGCCCCGCCCUCUUCUCUCCUGCCUCAGUGCCAUGGGAAGGCUGGCACUUCCCCAGUCAUGGAGCUUAGAAGGCCCCCCAGACCAAUGACCAGGGUCCCUCCCUAGGAGUCAGAUACCCAGACUUUGGUGUGCUAUCAUAGCAUGCGAAGAGCCACAGAAGCCUGCAUACCUGCAGCUGCUCUCAUUUGGUAAGUUUUCUCCACUGAUGCUGCUCCUGAAGGCUGAUGUGUUUGCUUCAUGAAAAGUCACCUUUCCUUGAUCCAUCAUAUUCUUUUCCACAAGGAAUUCUUCCACCUCUCGGCUUUCUUCUACUUGUGCUGCGUUCCAGGGCAGAGUAUGAGUUAUUAAAUCUUGUGUCCCCACUCCCUAGCAUGAUGGCUGCUGUGGUGGUAGUUUUGCUCUACCAAACUCAAUAAGCAGCCAUCAGGAAGUCGUGGGCCUUUUUAGAGUAGGCGCGUGAGAAAUGUCAUCUGAGCGGUGCUUCUAGAGAUUCAUUUUCCUACAGAAAUCUCUCUCUCGUUUACUUCCCAACUCUGUGAAGAAUGCAAUAAUUGACUCUGUCAUCCAAGCUCAAUGCCUGGGAGUAAACUUCUGAAUCUUCUCUCCAUCAGUUUCCAUGUGGGUGACAGUGGGAUUACGGCAGACAAUGCUGGCUAUACAUUUUGACUGCUCUACUUUGGCAUCUCCUACUCGAUAUCUUAAAAACUGUGAGCAGAAACCAAACUACCAAGCAGCUACCCAACUGGAGCUUUGUACCUUCUGUUGUUAUUACACCUUUUUUUCUUUCUUUCUUUUUUUUUUUGUAAAUGUCUUGUCUCCUCAUCUAAAUUAAAAGCUCUUAAGGGCAGUGACCUUAUUUUCCUACAGUAACUAGAACUGUUUUGUGCCUAAUUUCUACUUAAGAAAUAUCGAUUGAUCUUCAUAAGAUGAUGGUAGGUCAGGCAACCUUCAGUUACACAAGAAGAUAAAAACAUGAGGGGGAGAGAAGCAUCACAGGGCAGGAAGGAGUGUAAAGAAUUUG